CCUGGCUCAGGAUGAACGCUAGCGACAGGCUUAACACAUGCAAGUCGAGGGGCAUCAUGAGGUAGCAAUACCUUGAUGGCGACCGGCGCACGGGUGAGUAACGCGUAUGCAACCUGCCUGAUACCGGGGUAUAGCCCAUGGAAACGUGGAUUAACACCCCAUAGUACUUUUAUCCUGCAUGGGAUGUGAGUUAAAUGUUCGAGGUAUCGGAUGGGCAUGCGUCCUAUUAGUUAGUUGGCGGGGCAACAGCCCACCAGGACGAUGAUAGGUAGGGGUUCUGAGAGGAAGGUCCCCCACAUUGGAACUGAGACACGGCCCAAACUCCUACGGGAGGCAGCAGUGAGGAAUAUUGUUCAAUGGACGUAAGUCUGAACCAGCCAAGUCGCGUGAGAGAAGACUGCCCUAUGGGUUGUAAACCUCUUUUAUAAGGCAAGAAUAAGUUCUACGUGUAGAAUGAUGCCUGUACCUUAUGACUAAGCAUCGGCUAACUCCGUGCCAGCACCCGCGAUAAUACGGAGGAUGCAAGCGUUAUCCGGAUUUAUUGGGUUUAAAGGUCGCGUAGGCGGUUUAUUAAGUUAGUGGUAAAAUAUUUGAGCUAAACUCAAUUGGUGGCAUAAUACUGGUAAACUGGAGUACAGACGAGGUAGGCGGAAUAAGUUAAGUAGCGGUGAAAUGCAUAGAUAUAACUUAGAACUCCGAUAGCGAAGGCAGCUUACCAGACUGUAACUGACGCUGAUGCACGAGAGCGUGGGUAGCGAACAGGAUUAGAUACCCUGGUAGUCCACGCCGUAAACGAUGCUCACUGGUUCUGUGCGAUAAUUGUACGGGAUUAAGCGAAAGUAUUAAGUGAGCCACCUGGGGAGUACGUCGGCAACGAUGAAACUCAAAGGAAUUGACGGGGGCCCGCACAAGCGGAGGAACAUGUGGUUUAAUUCGAUGAUACGCGAGGAACCUUACCUGGGUUUAAAUGGGAAAUGUCGUAUUUGGAAACAGAUAUUCUCUUCGGAGCGUUUUUCAAGGUGCUGCAUGGUUGUCGUCAGCUCGUGCCGUGAGGUGUCGGGUUAAGUCCCAUAACGAGCGCAACCCUUACCGUUAGUUGCUAGCAUGUAAUGAUGAGCACUCUAACGGGACUGCCACCGUAAGGUGAGAGGAAGGCGGGGAUGACGUCAAAUCAGCACGGCCCUUACACCCAGGGCUACACACGUGUUACAAUGGCCGGUACAGAGGGCCGCUACCAGGUGACUGGAUGCCAAUCUCAAAAGCCGGUCGUAGUUCGGAUUGGAGUCUGUAACCCGACUCCAUGAAGUUGGAUUCGCUAGUAAUCGCGCAUCAGCCAUGGCGCGGUGAAUACGUUCCCGGGCCUUGUACACACCGCCC
rnacentral:rRNA from 1 species